AUUGAACGCUGGCGGCAUGCUUUACACAUGCAAGUCGAACGGCAGCGGGGAGGAGCUUGCUUCUCUGCCGGCGAGUGGCGAACGGGUGAGUAAUACAUCGGAACGUUUCGAGAAGAGGGGGAUAACCACCCGAAAGGGUGGCUAAUACCGCAUAAAUUCUGAGGAAGAAAGCUGGGGACCUGGGAAUAGGCCUAGCGCUUUUUGAGCGGCCGAUGUCGGAUUAGCUAGUUGGUGAGGUAAAGGCUCACCAAGGCGAAGAUCUGUAGCGGGUCUGAGAGGAUGAUCCGCCACACUGGGACUGAGACACGGCCCAGACUCCUACGGGAGGCAGCAGUGGGGAAUUUUGGACAAUGGGGGCAACCCUGAUCCAGCCAUGCCGCGUGUAUGAAGAAGGCCUUAGGGUUGUAAAGUACUUUUGUUAGGGAAGAAAAGUCAGCUGUGAAUAAUGGCUGAUACUGACGGUACCUAAAGAAUAAGCACCGGCUAACUACGUG
rnacentral:rRNA from 1 species